GUUGGCAACGGUUAACCGUUGCCAAUUGAUAAUUUUUUUUAAAAAAAUAAAUAAAUAAAAGGGUUAGAGUUGGCAACAACCGUUGCCAACUGAUUAUUUAAAAAAAAAUUAAAAGGAUUUUAUAAAAAGGCUUCUCCUUCCCUCAGCCCCUCUAUCUCUCUCUCAAAUUCAUUCUCUCUCAUCAACCCUCUCUCCUUUUAUUUUCUGAUCUUUCAUUCAGAGCUCCUUCGUUCUCUCUCAUCUCUCAUCCGCAUGCACCUCAGAUCUCUCUAAACUCUCAAAUCCUUCGUUCUUCUUCAAUUAUAGCUACCAAGCAAGGUAGUAUUACAACUACAGCAAUUGCUCAUAGACGAAGGAUUCAAGAUCCAAGGAUUUGGUGUUUUGUUGUUCAUUGUUACGUUUUUAUUUAUAUAAUUUUUUUAUAAAUUGUAAAAUAACAAUUUAUUUAAUAUAAUAUAUUCAUGUAUAUUAUGGUGUUCA